UUUAGACUCUCUACCUCUCUUUCGAUAAAUCCACCAUCGAGGUCCUCUCCCUCUUCCUUCCCAUCUAUAGCGAUCGUCGUGCCACCUUUCCUAGUGCCACACUCCUCCUUAAAACCCCUUUUCCUCAAAACCUCAAUUUUUGCUUUGUUUUUUCUCUAUUUCGGGUGUCGUCGCCAUGAAUCCCAUUGGACUUUAUCGUCACUAGUCGUGACUCAUUGCUAUCACCUCCUCCG
rnacentral:lncRNA from 1 species